GGCACAGAGAGGUGAAAUAAGGAAUGAAAUAUUACUGGAUGAAAUAAUUAUACUGAUCCUAGCCUUAUUUUAAAAGGGCCCCCAGAAUGCUCUUCUCCAAGACUUAGAAAAAUCAAAUGCUAUCCAUCCCUCAAGAUACAUCCCUCCAGCCCCUCCUUGAAGUCUCCUGCAGCUAGAAGUAGAAGUAGCAUCUAUCCCCAUCUGGACUCCUUAGCACUUUGCUGUACCUGCCUUAGUCCCCAUCUCUUUACACACACACACACACACACACACACACACACAGAGUAUUAUAAUACUAUUACCUAUUAUAUUACAUUAUAUUAUUGUAGUUCUACAGGAACUACAAGGAAUUCUACUGUGAAUUCCUUAAGGGUGGGAUACAUUUUACAAUCAUCACUGUUUCUCUCAUUAGUUGUGGAAUCAAAAAAAUGAGUGCACGAUGAAAAAUUAUUCAAACACAUACAUGCUUUCAUUCCAAUUGAAAAUGUAAAAAUAUUACUGUUAAAACAAUAUUAAAGGACAUGUAAUACAAUUCAAAUAUUCCUACCAUGCACGAUUGUUUUCACUUCUUUGUGCCUCUUUCACCAUUUAUUUGUGUGCAUACUCAGCAUAUUUGUUUGUGUAACAGGAUGUUAAAAAUAGAAUUUGUUGCCUGUAGUUUUUGCUAAAGCUCUACUAGACUGGAACAGAACAAUAGGUGGUAAAUACUCCAUUCCUCAGUGAGAUGCUACCUACCUAUGCAGAGCUGGAAAAGAUUUUGCAACCUGAAAACCCAAUCCUUUCUGAGAUAUAAAAGAACAGAAGAGUCUGGAAGUGAUUUCUUCGGAGAAAUUCAUUUUCGUAUUCCAGAGAAGAAACUUCAAGCUCAGAAUAUUGGCUACUACCUGUGAUAAACAUUUAAAUUAUUGGAACGAGAGAGUUUUUAUAACUAAAUUUGAAAGAAGCAAUUUUUUUUAUCAAAGACCAACCCGAAGAUUCAUGACCACUACCUGUGAUUUCAUCCAUGUUGCAAGGAAAAUCCUGCCCCACUUCCCCAAUAGGAAGAGUGGUGGGGGAAUAAUAAAGUUGUUUUAUGAUGCAUCCUGUGGACUUCUACUCGACAGAAUGGUAACAUUCAACUGUAAUCAGGAUGAGCAAGCCACUUUAUUAAACUAAAAUUUUAAACUUUAAUAAAUAUAAUACAAACUGAAAAAUAAAAAUAAUUUUUCAACUCUACACAAGUAUGUUAACUGCAUAAACAGUGAGAUGUUACACAGGGCUGAGGCCUAUACUUCUUCAGUUUGUACAUUAAACGUCUCCAUGGAGGGUCAAUUGCAUCCUACCUAUUCUGACAGUUAUCAGGUAGCGAGAGAUUUGAGGAAGAGGCGCUUUUCUAAUCUGGGGUAGGAAAAGGAAUGAUACCAUGUAUCAUGAGAAGUAUUUGCACAUAGUGUGUCAAUUAAGCAAGUGCUCAGACUAUUAACAACAUUACUAUGUGAUGAAUGUUUAUACAGUGGAUUCAAAAAUAAGCUUCUUUCCAGAAAGCAGCUUAGUUUUCAUUAAUUAUUACCAGCAUCUUGGUAAUUAUUUAUUUAAUGGUUUAAAAGUUAAAGUUUCAAUCUAUAUUUGUUUUUUUAACAUCAGCCAAGGAAAUACAUGUCUGUUAUACUGCAUCUUUGGAAGUAUGCAAUAAGUGUAACUAUUGAAUCUAUAUUGAAGAGCCACAAGACACUGAAUUUAAUUGGACGAGACUAUUUUAUUUAGGAAGACAAUCAUCUCCUGUGAUCAGCUUAAGGUUUUUGUUUUGUUUUAUCUGGAACAAGCUAAGUUCAUAUUUAGAAAAUAAAGUUAGUUUUUUGGGUGCAUGAGUUUUAGAGUAAAUUAGUAAUUUAGUAAACUUUGACAUUUCCACUUUGUCUCCAAACACAUUUAAAUUCUAUCUGUCUGACUGAAGUUCUAAGGCAUUCUGUGGUUACUUAGAAAUGAUUCCUUAUAUUAAUGUUUACAAAUGCUAAAUUGUAUUUGUUAAAUACAUGUCUUAUUGCCUAAGAGUUUUCCUUUCUUAUAAGUUUAAUAUAAAUGUCUAGGAAAUAAGACUCCCAUUUAAUAGCUUAUAAAGAAUGCUGAUGUAUCAGCAGUGGCCUUGACAUUAUUGGAUACAAGUAAGAUCUACACUGAUGAUUAAAUCAAAUUGGCUAAGAUUAUUCGUUCUAAUAAAAGCACUGACUCCAUGAAGUUUUCUUGUGGCUGAAAUUAACAUUCGUGUUCCUACAAGCUCUUUAAAAUCUUAGUUACUGAAAAUUAUUCCUUUUGACCUAAUUUUUUCUUUACUUUGGAUGUAUUUGACAAGGUAGAGGUUAGGGAUUGGAGAGUAUGUAAAGAAUGAAAUAAAAUGUAGUCACUUUUAACUAUAUCCACAUAUAUCCACAGGGAGAUGGGGGUUAACACUGAUAAUUAUUCUCAACAUUCUUCUGGGUUUGGAGUUAAUUGAGAAAUACACAUAGCGGUCAGAAACAUAG
rnacentral:lncRNA from 1 species